AGAGAGAGAAAAGGCACAUCAGGAUGACAGAUUGUAAUCAGAUGGAGUCCAUGACUUUUUGCGCAUCUAACAUUUGUCCUUAAUUCCCGAAUGCACGUAGCGUUUGAAAGCCACGGAAGACCAUCGUCCCAGACUUUUUAAUGUGGGAAUCGUAGUAACCGAAGCUGCUGUUGUAGCUGCUCCGAUGCGGAAGGAGUGAGAUGUGUAGAGCUCUGGAGAGAGGCCGCAGGAUUAGUAUGCCGAGCGUAGACAGGCGGCGAAAAAGGAUCUCGUCAUGGCUUUUCUCUCCUCGGUUAUGAAUAGCGGUUCGUCGGGGCGUGCAUGAGGGCGAAAACCCAGAUACCGGGACAUGUAAUGAAAAGGGAAAAAAUCAGUAUUAGUGCGAGCAAUUACGACUGGAAUACCUUUAGAAUCUCUGUCAUAUUUUGAGUGUUUUAGAAAAAUAGAAAAGUGAUGUUCUUCAAGGGUGAUAUCGGACACUGUGAGGUCAUAGGAGGCAUCGAAAUUAUUGGUGCGUGUGGUGAAUUCACCAACCCUGAGGAACCCAUAGAAAGCACAGAGAAACACAGCUUCCAAGAGUGAAUCCAGGUAAGGGCUAAAGCACCCCUGUCUCAGUUUAGUGACCAGUUUUUUGACUAGAGGAAGAGUGAGAGGGAGUCGUUUGUCUUUGCCUUUAGGUGUUUCUUUUUUGAUGCCAUCGAGGAGCAGGCGAUGGAUGGAUGCCCCAGCAGUCUGCAGACGGAUGGGUCCAGGCAUCUUAGGUGGAAUUGGAUGCCUAAAAUUUGACUUUUUAUGGAGGAAAGUCGCAUUUUUUGUGCUAAGAAACAAUGCAUGAUAAAAGCACUCACGACUGCACUGUUAACGGGCAAAACGGGGACUGAAAAAUUGUCGCUGAAGCUAGAGAAGCGAUUCCAAGCGGAGUAAAACAUUUUUAAUGUGGAUUUAGCUAUACUUGAUCUCAUGUACAGUGAAGCUACGGAAAGGUAAGACUGCAGAGUAGAGCUUAGUCGAGAACAGUCAGGGUGAAUGCUGGGCAGGGCAGGUUUGAAGGAGAGGCAUCUGGGCACAGUGUUUUGAACUCCUGAAAUUUGAAACGAUACAGACAGUCAGCUAUAGUAUUAUCAAGGCCAGGUAUUUGAGCUGCGUGCAGCGUGAAGUUACUAGUAAUGCAUGUCCAUGUAAGGACAUUAUUAAUAAAUAAAGGGGACUGAGGAGUGCCCUUUGUUAAUGAUGUGGAUGGUAGCUUCGUUAUCCCAAUAGACGAGGAUUUGUUUCCUAGACCACUGGUUACCCCAAAGAAUGCAUGCCACGACGAUAGGAUAUAAAUCUAACAAAGCUGUAGACAGGUGUCAGGGAGCUCUCUGACUCUGCUCCCGUGCGUGCCCCGCCCGCACGGAGCGGCUCGCCUGCUUACUGAUUGCUCUCACCUGACUCUCAUUUCACUCUCAUCAGCCACCAUAUAUAAUCCCCUCUCUCACUCCCACUCACCGUCAGUUAUUAUCCAUGGUUUCACUGAACAUUUCUCGACACUCCCGUGUUCAUGUUCAGCUUCGUGCUUCUCCCACGCGCUCCCGUGGUUAGUACACCGACUGCCUUUCAUCCCCUACUCUCUGGACUUUGUGUGCCGCGCUUCCACCGCGCACCACCGGAUUACACAGACUGCCUUGCUACUCUGGAUCUUUGUGGGCCGCGCUUUUCCGCGCACCACCGGAUUAUUCUACUUCCGUGUUUUCACAAUAAACUCUGUUUGCUUCCACUCCGGCUUCCUCCUCUGUGUCUCGCAUAACAACAGGACGUUUUGGGGAGGGUUGACAAUUCUUUUGGCCAAGCGCUGGCAAACCACUGGUUGUUAAAAAACCUCUGAAUCCUCUCUAGGGAGCGGCGUUGGUAAAGAACUUGAGCGCGACAGAAGUUUCUACCGCAUCGUUGUAAAAAAAAGAAAUUCCGUUCCAUCCUUCGCAUAAAAGGGACCAGAAAUGCAGUUCGGAUUUGCAGCCUGUGUCCAGCUUAAUAGAAUCGUGCAGAUUCUCGACCGUUUUAGAGAUAUCAAGGAGUCUAGAAAUGAAAGAGUGACCUUGCAGAAUGAUCCGCAUAGCAAAAUUUAAAUGUCCUAGAAAAUAGAGCAGUUCUUUUUUGUGAUGUCGUCAUGUGUCAAGGUGUCUUUUAAGGCUUCACUAAUGCGAUCGAGUUUAUCGACGGGCAACAAUGCUUGCAUGAGAUUGCUGUCUAAAUUAAUUCUGAGGAAUUCUAAUUUAUUUGAUGGACCCACGUUUUUUUUAUCUGAGAGGGGGAUACCUAGCUUUUUGAAAGUUUCUUUCAGGUUUUUGAUGCUUCGCUCUGGUUGAGAGUUUGGGUAGUCUACGACAAGGAAAUCCUCUAAUUGGUGAAGGAUGAAUUUACUAGGAGAAUUUACUAAGGGCAAUUACUUAGGAGAAUCCAGCAAAGUGCUUCUGAUAAGCUAUCGAAGAUGCGAGGGUUGCUGCGACAGCCGAAUGUGAGUCUGACGGCAAAGUACAUUAUGUUGCGCCAUUGUACUCUGAACAGGUGCCAUUGGGACAGAUGAAGCGGCAUAAUUUUAAAAGCAUCUACGAUGUCAGCUUUGCCCAGCCAUGCCCAUUUUCCGGCUGUUUUGAUUAAUUGGAUAGCGUUGUCAAACGAAGCGUAGAACAGGGAAAAAUUAGGAAGAGGAAUCAGGCUGUUAAUACUUGGAACGUGUUGGAGCUGAUGAGUUUAUGAUUAGACGUUUUUUCUCCGAAUACUUCCUUGUCGCUAUGCAUAGAGGGUUAAUCCUAAAGACUGGGAAUGGGGAAUUGUCGAAGGGGCCGAUCAUGUAUCCUUCAUCUAUCUCUCUAGCCAGAAGACUAUCGACUACUUCAGGUUCCAUGAGAGCGGACUGAAGAUUGUUACAGAUGUAAGGAUAAAAGGGGAGCAUAGUUAAACCAGCCGUAAAACCGUGAACAAGUCCGGUAAUCAAAUAAUGUACAAAACAGCGAUUGGGAUGCUUCGUCAAAGCUUUGUCAAGUUCAGGAACGUUGACAGGCAUUGGCUUUAUUUUUUCCUUUUGGAGGGAGCAUGCAUCCUCCGGGGACAUACGGACUUUGGAUGCCCGUCUCCGCAGUAGCUGCAAGCGUGAACAAAUUUACAAUUGGGAAACCUGCACACACUAUCAUUGAAAUUAUAAAACAUGGGAGUAUGAAUCAUGGUGUUUGACCUUUUCUUCGUUGUUGGCUUUAGGUAUGCGGUCUGCCGGGGUAGUAGGUUUAGCGGAUCUCGGGCACAGAGAAAGGGUGUGCAUGAAAAGGCCGCAUAGUGAGCAAGACAGCGCGCGAUGUCCGGUAAAAUGUCUACUAAUGAGAGGUAGGUCCACUGCAGACCAAUCCAGUCUUUGGUUGAACCUUUGGAUAUACGUAGCUGAGAACGAUUUGUGGUUGUUACGUCCAAAGACGUAUAUUUUGUCUUGUCUUGUGGUUGCUGUUGUGUUGUCUCCUGCUCUCCUGUGGCUCCUCCUACUGUCUUCUCUCAGGUCACCUAAUUGCUUCCUCCCAGCUGCACCUGUUUACCAACCGGAAGGGAAGGAGUUUAAAAGCAGAGCAGAAGGCUCAGUUGGAGACCCCUUUCCUUUUCUCCAAGAGCAUGAUCCGUGUUCUGCCCAGCCCGCCGUAUUGAACUCUAUGUUGUGCUUAUUAUCCAGUGAUAUCGUGAUCAGUGACUUUGGUUCUGAUGGUUCUUUUGUUAUUGUGUGUAAUUUUGGGAACGGUAGGGAGGUGGGUGCCACUUUAUUUUGUGAAUCCUUGUUUUCUCCUGUUUUGUGUUAGUUAGGGAGUGAGUUCAGGUAUCUGUUAUUUAUUUUACUUUUGUGUUCUAGAUUAUCAAGAUUUCAACUCCCCAGGCAGUGAACUUUUGUUUGUUAUUUUGGCAUUGCCCCCUUCUGAGAUUUGUUCCCUUCCUCCAUUGAAUUUGAACUGAUUAGUUUUUGUUUUCUUCCUGUUAUCUACAGAUGUUUAAAUAAAACUUUCGAAUUCAGAACGUGUUGAUGUGGUGCUGUGGCAGGGUCCGAGUUAUGCUCUUCUCUCUUAUAUGUUAGGUCCCAAAACCCCUAGACACGCGAGCUACGCGCAGGACGGUACUCAUAAAAAAGGGUCCCGUCGUAGGCCAUAGCGAGGUCUGAAAUUAUUGCUAAAUAGGUGUCGAGUUCGGCCCUACGCUCCGGAUACGUUUCGCAAAUUAUAGCUCUGAAAACGCCAAAGGUGACCUUGAACUCAGGCUUAGUUAGACAGCCUAAGGUCGUUAUCUUUUAAGAGUAUGGAGACGUAGCCGCAUUCUACCAUGCGUUUGUCCUGGACCUCUGAGCACAGCAGGAUCUUAAUGAGAUUAAUGUCAUUACCUGCAAGGAUCUGAGCACGCAGAUGGGGAGAGAUGGCAGUGGCAGGUGGGAAGAAGGGGGCGCCGGCAGCAGGUGCUGGGAGGGCCGUUGCUAACAAAUGCGGAAGGAGAUUUAGACCCGUGUUUGCUGGUGUAGAGAAUGCCGGAGCAUCGGGAACCAGUGGAGCAGGGGUUGGUGACGCGGAGGCCACAUCGGGGAUGGAUUAUGGUUGAUUUUCCAGAGCUUGGUCAGAGAGGGACAUAUGAAUGUUCUGGAGGGCUGACAUCACAGGAUCAUCUUAGAUUGGUGAGGUGAAGUCGGGUCGAAUGGUCCUUUUCUUUGAAGCUGGCGGGUUGUUGGCACGUGAGCAGUGUUUCCUUUUUGCGGUGGCCUUUUUGGGGCCGGAAGUAGGAGUGGAUUGAGUCGGAGGUAUUUCACGGAUGUUUUCCAGGAAGAAAUGGAAUAGUUGUACACAUAUAGAUUGUGACAUUAACAUGUUGUAUUCUUUGCCAAAUCGACACACUUUUUCUUUUCCCUCAGAUGGAUUCUCCUAUGAUUUUAAUUUAUAUGGACAGAAGCUGAUAUAAGAAAAAUCACAUUGACUUCAAAGCCAUGCUCAGGCAAUGGAGUAUAACUUUACUUUGCAAUUUCAAUACAGAGUUUAAUAAUGAACUUUGUAUUUUGACUGAUUUGUCAGAGCUCCCUUACAGACCGACUAUGAAAAUCAUUCCUUUGAUAGAACUGAUGCCACUGUCAUCAAGUGACAGAAUGAGUGAUACUCCAAUCACAGCAGAUACAGUACUGAACUCUCAAGAAAAGAAAAUGGCUUGGCCAUUCAGGAAAAGAAAAUGGCUUGGCCAAAUGUUCUGUUGACGUAGAGUAUAAGCAACUUGACAAAGGAGUUGAAACACAUUUUUCAGAGGUUGGCAGAGAACAUGUACACCUUCAAAGCUUACCCAACAUCUUCAGAUAUACGUUAUGUUGCUAAGGCGUUAGUGGCGGCACACCCAACCCCUCGAGAACCACCUUCUGGAUACCAACAGUUUAAAAGACAAAAUUGGCAAUUACAGGUCAAAAAUUAGGAGCCUUGGAAUCACAGAGGUUAUAGUUGAUGCUUUGAAAAAAGAGAGAUUUUCUGCCAGUUGUAAACCACCUAACAAGAACAAUUACCUACAUGAUGUGCCAGAUGGGCAGGAUGCCUCCAGCCUUGAAAUAUGCAGACAGGAAUUGGUGGAUGAAUGCAGUCUUUAUCAGUGAGAGAAUGGACCUGACGCUAUCUUUCAGAAGAAAAGAAGCUGUAAGGUGUACAAAAAAGAAUUCAGCUGGGUAGUUGGAAAGAACCUUAAACAGGAGUUUUAUGGCUCUCUUCAUCAUCAUGGUCCACAGUUGAUUCAGAUCUUCAGGUCAAAACCUCAGAUGUUGCUGACAUGGGAUGUGCUGCUAUAAGAGGGCUUCCAGGAAUACCUGAUGACACAACCCAGUUCCAAGCUUCUGCUGAUGAGGAUUCAUUCCAACAUGUUUCAGUUGGAAUCCUAAACAAAGAAAGUGAAGAAGUGGCAGAGCAACCCCUGUACUUCCACAUCCAUCCACCUUCUGUAUCAUCUUGGAGGGGAAUGUUGUGAUGGA